rnacentral:tRNA from 1 species
GGAGGUGUGGCAGAGUGGUCGAUUGCACCGGUCUUGAAAACCGGCAACGGGUAACCGUUCGUGAGUUCGAAUCUCACCGCCUCCGCCA